rnacentral:rRNA from 1 species
CAGUCGCCACGGUAAUACGGAGGGUGCAAGCGUUAAUCGGAAUUACUGGGCGUAAAGCGUGCGUAGGCGGCUUCUUAAGUCGGAUGUGAAAUCCCUGAGCUUAACUUAGGAAUUGCAUUCGAUACUGGGAAGCUAGAGUAUGGGAGAGGAUGGUAGAAUUCCAGGUGUAGCGGUGAAAUGCGUAGAGAUCUGGAGGAAUACCGAUGGCGAAGGCAGCCAUCUGGCCUAAUACUGACGCUGAGGUACGAAAGCAUGGGGAGCAAACAGGAUUAGAGACCCCUGUAGUCCCUGUCUCUUAUAC